UCGGGGAAGAACGAUUGCGCUCCUGUGGAGAAAAUUUGUUUGACACCCCUGGUCUAUGCAGACAGCUCAUCAAGAGAAGGCUUGAUUUACUUUGUUGAUAUGGCAGUAUGCACCCCGCUAGAGGCUAUACUGAUUACUCUGCAUAUUAAUUUGGUCAGUGCAUUUAUCUAGCCUUUCUCUUUUGUCUAUGAGGAGGAUGGAGGCUGAUGACACUGGGGAAAAGCUGGCAGAGAAAGGACUUUUCUGUAGAAGUAUCUUAUAUCACUUAUAACUGCUUCCCUGUGCUCCUAGGUCUGAAGGAAACAUGCUUCACAGUGAUUGCUAACUGCUUCCCUGUGCUCCUAGGUCUGAAAGAAACAUGCUUCACAGUGAUUGCUAACGGCUUCCCUGUGGUCCUAGGUCUGAGAGAAACAUGCUUCACAGUGAUUGCUAACUGCUUCCCUGUGGUCCUAGGUCUGAGAGAAACAUGCUUCACAGUGAUUGCUAACGGCUU
ensembl:lncRNA